rnacentral:misc_RNA from 1 species
AAGUCGUAACAAGGUCUCCGUUGGUGAACCAGCGGAGGGAUCAUUACUGAGUUAAUCAAAACUCCCAACCCUUUGUGAACUUACCACUGUUGCCUCGGCGUCGGCUGCAGCUACCAUGUAGUGACCCUGUAGCUGGUUACCCUGUAGACAGCUACCCGGAACCUGCCUCGUAGUGCGCUUAGGCCCGCCGGAGGACCGUCUAACUCUUAUUUUAAAAACUGUGAAUCUCUGAAUGCUUCAACUGAAAUAAGUUAAAACUUUCAACAACGGAUCUCUUGGUUCUG